GUUUGAUAUUUGUUGAGUGAUAAAGAGAGUUCCAGUGCAAUUUACAGAAAACACACCCUUUAUGUUUACCACAGAUUAUGGAAAUGUUCAUGACGCAUUGAAUACUUAUUAAAACAAAUGAUAACAGCGAAUUGAUUAUGGAGACACAGCCGUUGAAAGUGCCUGAAACAUCUCCACCGCCAUAUACUAAUUCUGUUGCAACAGCUCCAGCAGUGAAUUCAUCACAAUGGCAACCACCUCCCGGAUACUAUCCUAACAUUGAUUCUGGUUAUCAACCUGGCUAUCAAGGAAGCCAUGUUCCAUCAUAUGGCUCUACACAUUCCACUGCAAUCAUUGUUCCAGAAAUUAUUGUAGUUGGCGGUUGUCCAGCAUGUAGAAUAGGAAUAAUGGAAGAUGAUUAUACAUGUCUUGGCUUGUUUUGUGCGAUUUUUUUCUUUCCUCUCGGAAUUAUCUGUUGUCUGCUAUUAAGGACAAAACGCUGUUCAAAUUGUGGAGCUUAUUUUGAUUAAUUAAAAUACAUGCUAAUUGUCAAAUAAAACUAUUGGAAAUUCUGUAAUCUACUGACUAAUUGAAUCAUCGCAUGGUCUCAAAGCCCUAAAAGCUGGCUAAAAUAUGAAAGUAUUUUUCAAUUUAGUUACGAAAUUUAAUAUCUAUAAUGGUUUUCGAGAUCACUGAUUAUCGACUCGAAAUCAAAUUAUAAAGGAGGAAAUGGAUCUAUUUAAUGUAGCCAACGUAUG
rnacentral:misc_RNA from 1 species